UGGCAGUGAUGAAAAAAAAGCCGGUCUUACAGCUGCUUUGGUUCAAUCUAAUUGGUAGUCGAAUGAUGCGAAUAAUCAUGAGGUGUUUUCUGAGCCAG
rnacentral:snoRNA from 1 species